rfam:Schistosoma curassoni strain Dakar, Senegal genome assembly, scaffold: SCTD_scaffold0007890
AUCCACCUGACGAGUCCCAAAUAGGACGAAACGCGCGUCCUGGAU